GAUCAUGGCUCAGGAUGAACGCUAGCGGCAGGCUUAACACAUGCAAGUCGAGGGGCAGCAUAAUGGAUAGCAAUAUCUAUGGUGGCGACCGGCGCACGGGUGCGUAACGCGUAUGCAACCUACCUUUAACAGGGGGAUAACACUGAGAAAUUGGUACUAAUACCCCAUAACAUCAUGAAAGGCAUCUUUUAUGGUUGAAAAUUCCGAUGGUUAGAGAUGGGCAUGCGUUG
rnacentral:rRNA from 1 species